UGGGGAAUUUUGGACAAUGGGCGAAAGCCUGAUCCAGCAAUGCCGCGUGUGUGAAGAAGGCCUUCGGGUUGUAAAGCACUUUUGUCCGGAAAGAAAUCCUUGGCUCUAAUACAGUCGGGGGAUGACGGUACCGGAAGAAUAAGCACCGGCUAACUACGUGCCAGCAGCCGCGGUAAUACGUAGGGUGCAAGCGUUAAUCGGAAUUACUGGGCGUAAAGCGUGCGCAGGCGGUUUGCUAAGACCGAUGUGAAAUCCCCGGGCUCAACCUGGGAACUGCAUUGGUGACUGGCAGGCUAGAGUAUGGCAGAGGGGGGUAGAAUUCCACGUNUAGCAGUGAAAUGCGUAGAGAUGUGGAGGAAUACCGAUGGCGAAGGCAGCCCCCUGGGCCAAUACUGACGCUCAUGCACGAAAGCGUGGGGAGCAAACAGGAUUAGAUACCCUGGUAGUCCACGCCCUAAAACGAUGUCAACUAGUUGUUGGGGAUUCAUUUCCUUAGUAACGUAGCUAACGCGUGAAGUUGACCGCCUGGGGAGUACGGUCGCAAGAUUAAAACUUAAAUGAAUUGACGGGGUCAUA
rnacentral:rRNA from 1 species